ACAGAAGAGUUUUAAUUUGCUCUUUGUUUAUAAUACCUCUUCUACUCUCUAUAUUUUUUUUCUAGCUCAACUCACUUAGACACACAAUACCCCAUUUGAUCAUUGAGUGAUGAUAUUUAGAGCAAUGCAUUUCAUGGAAAGAGCUCAAAGGGCACCAAAGGGCUUAUUUCAAAUGAAAGAUUUCAUGUUUCAAGGUUUCCGGGUUUCACCAUUGUAUCACUGAGAUGGUUCAACACAACUUUAUGCACCAACGGAGUUUAGCAGUUCGAAGUACUUUUUCGGCUGUAGGCUGUACUCGAUUUCACGACUUGGUCUACUACAAGUGGUAUGGAAAUCCUAUUCAAUCUGAUCAUUGACAGGCCUCUUGGUAUCACUUUGGUUGAAAGUGGAGGUCAUGAGUGCAGACUCCCAG